rnacentral:lncRNA from 1 species
AAAAAUAAAAGGAAAAGAAAAAAAGAAUACAAUCAUUCAUUUUCUGACAAAAACAUCCGAAAGAAAAUAUUGUUAUUUGUUACCUUGUUACUGUAAAAUGUCGUUUGGAGUUUCCUUUUUUUAUGAACGUAAAUAGUGAUUACAAAUCUAACAAGUUAAUUAGUAUCACCGACCGUCCCUCGAGCAAGUGGCAAAGGGCUUGGUUGUUGAUACCCGAGACCCAAGUUCGAUUCCUAGUUGAUUCAUAUUUCCAGCUAAGUUUAUUUCUAAAUGAAAUAAACGAAAGGGGUAGCGUGCUACCUAUUUCUCAAAAAAAGAAAAAACAAGUUAACUAGUAUCUGCUAUAGUGUAAAUGGUUCGAUCCGUUCAACCGCU